GCGUUCAGUUACUUGACGUAGACCCGAAACCGGGCGACCUACCCAUGAGCAGGAUGAAGCGAAAGUAAAAUUUCGUGGAGGUCCGAACCCACGAGCGUUGAAAAGCUCGGGGAUGACUUGUGGGUAGCGGUGAAAUUCCAAUCGAGCCCGGAGAUAGCUGGUUCUCCCCGAAAUAGCUUUAGGGCUAGCCUCAAGGUGAGAGAUACGGAGGUAGAGCACUG
rnacentral:rRNA from 1 species